UCGAGAAUAAUUCACAAUGGGGGAAACCCUGAUGGUGCAACGCCGCGUGGAGGAUGAAGGUCUUCGGAUUGUAAACUCCUGUCAUCGGGGAGUAAGACCUGGGCGUGAAUAGCGCACAGGGUUGAUAGUACCCGAAGAGGAAGGGACGGCUAACUUCGUGCCAGCAGCCGCGGUAAUACGAAGGUCCCAAGCGUUGUUCGGAAUCACUGGGCGUAAAGGGAGCGUAGGCGGCGUGGUAAGUCAGAUGUGAAAUCCCGGGGCUCAACCCCGGAACUGCAUCCGAUACUGCCGUGCUUGAGGGUUGGAGAGGUAGCUGGAAUUAUCGGUGUAGCAGUGAAAUGCGUGGAUAUCGAUAGGAACACUCGUGGCGAAGGCGAGCUACUGGACAACAUCUGACGCUGAGGCUCGAAGGCUAGGGGAGCAAAAG
rnacentral:rRNA from 1 species